AUGAACUCCUCUCCUCGUAACCUAGGUUUCGGAGAGACAUAAGGGCCCAUGGGCCUUAUGAAGUAGACCUCGGCUCUAUCAUUUGCUGCGUUGAGCGUGGACUCGAUAUGGCUGGUAUGGACUAGGGCGUGGACUCGAUCUGCCUGUAUUGCCCGAAUUCGCUAUUCGGUGGGGACUGGGGAGGUAUUGAUAAGUCUCAAGUCGAUAAGAUAGAGGAGAAGACCCAACAUUAGCUUCAAUGCUUCUCUGUUUUCUCCUCUCAUGAUCUGAACAGUGAAAUCAGAAACUUGGUUCUACUGCGAUUGGUGUAAAGACAAAAGAGGGAGUUGUUCUUUCAGUCGAGUAGCGUAUAAUAACCUCGACCACCUUGCUGAGUUGCUGCACACUUACAAUUUGCUACGAAUGUAGUCUUGAUUUAACACUGAGUGAUAGAAUCUGAAGGGCGGUAUUAAGUAGGAGCCGAGCAGUGUUGAGAAGAUUAUAGAAAUUGAUGACCAUAUAGGUUGUGCUAUGACUGGUCUGGUUGCACGAGUAGAAACUCAAAACCACAGAUUCUCGUAUGGUGAGCUAAUGACAGUAGAAUCUACAUCCAAAGCCUUGUGUGAUCUGGCUUUAUGUUUUGGUGAAGGAGAUGAAGAAUCGAUUGCUCCAUCUUUCUUGCUAGCAUAGGACACACUUCUUCUGCUUGAUCAAUUGCCAGAGAUAAACUCUUGAAUUGGGUAUUUAGUUUUAAUUAGUUGUGAAUUGAUAGAUCCAGCUCUAUAACAUUCCCUAACUCUUCCAUGAUGUUUUGGCAAAUAUUUUUCGGUUCUUUACGGUGUCGUUUUUAUGUGAAUACUAGUUAGUUGCCCGCGCUACGCGCGGAAGUUUUAUUACGUAGUUUAUGAGUAAUUGAUUCAUAUUUUAUUUCGUACUUAUUUUCUCUACUACAUGAUAUUUUUAUUUUCUA